GGGCCUAUAGCUCAGCUGGUAGAGCAGUCGGCUCAUAACCGAUUGGUCACAGGUUCGAGUCCUGUUGGGCCCACCA
rnacentral:tRNA from 1 species